rnacentral:rRNA from 1 species
CUUAGAGUUUGAUCCUGGCUCAGGAUACUCGCUGGCGGCGUGCAUGAGACAUGCAAGUCGAACGGACGAUCAGGGCUUGCUCUGAUCGUUAGUGGCGGACGGCUGAGUAACGCGUGGGUGACCUGCCCCGAAGUGGGGAAUAACUGCCCGAAAGGGUGGCUAAUACCGCAUGUGGUGGUGCCUUCAUCGGCACCAGUAAAGCCGCAAGGCGCUUCGGGAGGGGCCUGCGUCCGAUUAGCUCGUUGGUGGGGUAACGGCUCACCAAGGCGACGAUCGGUAGGUGGUCUGAGAGGACGAUCACCCAGACUGGGACUGAGACACGGCCCAGACUCCUACGGGAGGCAGCAGUCGGGAAUUUUGCGCAAUGGACGAAAGUCUGACGCAGCAACGCCGCGUGAGGGAUGACGGCCUUCGGGUUGUAAACCUCUUUUGUCAGGGAAGAUCAUGACGGUACCUGACGAAUAAGCCACGGCUAACUACGUGCCAGCAGCCGCGGUAAUACGUAGGUGGCAAGCGUUGUCCGGAUUUACUGGGCGUAAAGAGCGCGCAGGCGGUCGUUCAAGUCGCGUGUGAAAGCCCCCGGCUCAACUGGGGAGGGUCACGCGAUACUGAUCGACUCGAAGGCAGGAGAGGGAAGUGGAAUUCCCGGUGUAGUGGUGAAAUGCGUAGAUAUCGGGAGGAACACCAGUGGCGAAGGCGACUUCCUGGCCUGUUCUUGACGCUGAGGCGCGAAAGCUAGGGGAGCAAACGGGAUUAGAUACCCCGGUAGUCCUAGCCGUAAACGAUGGACACUAGGUGUUGGGUGGUAUCAACCCCGCCAGUGCCGAAGCUAACGCAUUAAGUGUCCCGCCUGGGGGAGUACGGACCGCAAGGGCUAAAACUCAAAGGAUUGG